GAUGAACGCUGGCGGCGUGCCUAACACAUGCAAGUCGAACGAUGUCCCGUCUUCGGAUUGGGACAUAGUGGCGAACGGGUGAGUAACACGUUGGUGACCUGCCCCGAAGUCGGGGAUAACUCUUCGAAAGGAGGGCUAAUACCCGAUGUGCUUGCAUCGUUUAGAAGGGUGCAAGUAAAGCUCCGGCGCUUCGGGAGGGGCCAGCGGCCUAUCAGCUAGUUGGUGAGGUAAUGGCUCACCAAGGCUAAGACGGGUAGGGGGCGUGAGAGCGUGAUCCCCCACAAUGGAACUGAGACACGGUCCAUACUCCUCCGGGAGGCAGCAGUGAGGAAUAUUGCACAAUGGGGGAAACCCUGAUGCAGCAACGCCGCGUGGGUGAAGAAGGCCUUCGGGUCGUAAAACCCUUUUCCAGGGGAAGAGACAGGACGGUACCCUGGGAAUAAGUCCCGGCUAACUACGUGCCAGCAGCCGCGGUAAAACGUAGGGGGCGAGCGUUAUCCGGAAUUACUGGGCGUAAAGCGCGUGCAGGCGGCUUGGUAGGUUGGACGUGAAAGCUCCUGGCUCAACUAGGAGAGGCCGUUCA
rnacentral:rRNA from 1 species